UAUAUGCGUUGCACUUGUGGAUAGAAAUAAAACAACAACCCUGAAAAGCAGUUGUAGGCUCGCGUUAUUUACUUCAACGUCAAACCCCCUUUAUAAAUGUUCGAGUAGUUUUAUAAUAGUGUAUCUUAGUGUUUUCUGCGUUCAUUAAUCAUCGCUGUUGCAUCCGAUGCUGUAAUAAACCACAGCCUACAUCCUAAAAUGUCUGUUACAGUUACAGAAUUCGAUCGCAGCAUUUCUCGCAAAACGUCCAAAUAGAGUGAAAAAAAGUUGUUUUUUUCGGCGACCCUAAUUAUAAUUCCCAGUCCUGAUCAGAAAUGGUUUUGUAGAACUAUAACCCUGUGCACACGCAAGUUGUUUUUUCGAGGGAUUGUGUUCAAAAGUAUUCCAGGCGGCCUCUGCUCUGCUGCCCUACUGCAGUAUGAUACACUGCAAUCCAGACUUCUUCUCUCUUAUCUAGGGCCUCCCCUUCACGAUAAAAACAGGUCUUAUUUCUAUUUAGAUAAGGAACUGCAGGUAAAGUCCCUUUCCCCGCCUGCCUUGGGACGAGACUGAUUGACAGUGAAGUGCGCCCCUUUUUAAUGGGCUUUCCGGCACCCAUUUACUUUUGGAUAAGGGAAUCGCCCACAUCGACUUCCCGUAACAAUAGACGGAAUAGCUGGCACAGUGGAGGGUAAACGUUUUUACAAGGCUGUGCUGCUGACAUGCCUGGGGGAGAUAUCUAUGCUUGAUCAUUUAGAACCUCCAAACCAUGCCAGACCCGGUGAUGAGAUCAGACCGCUCUCCCUGACCGUAGCUGACACCAAGUCAUUCUCAGUGAUACUCAAGGUCAAUCCAGCCACCCCGGAGGCGACAUCAAGGGCCUAGAUGUGUUUAUUAAGGCUCCCUUGGUAACAGCAAAGCAAAUAGCUGGCUCUGGUUUUGUUGCUUUUGGCUCCAUUUGUCUCUCUCCCUCUCUCCAUCUCUCUUGCCCCAUCUUCUUCACCCCCCCCUCUCCUCCCCUGUCUCUAUUCCAGCUGCAGAUGGGACCAGGGAAACCCCAAGUCAAGACAGCCAGUCAACCAGUCAGUCAGUCAGUCAGCUCUAUAGAGGGCCCUGCUAAUCAGAACCCUGCAACAAUGAUGUUAUCCUGGCAAGGCUGAAGUCCCAAGGAUUCAACCCCAAUGACAUGAUGUAGCGAACUCAACUCAGCGAACUAUAUUAUAAUGUAUAGUAUGCGUUGUUUAAUGUUCACCCGUGGAUUAUAUUUCACACAAUGAUACAGAUGAGGUUAGACAUGGUGUACGAAAAAGAAUGACAUUUAUAUAGUGUAAUGUAUAUUGAAACAGGUGUUAAAAUGAAUCUGCCAUGUCUAUAAACCAUUUGAUAUCCUUUCAAUCCAGCCAAGAUCAGGCCAGAAAUUGGAUCAGUCAUUCCGAUAUAUCACACUCUUUACCUUGAGAGAAUCCCUAGUGUGUGGUUCUGUGCUGUGAAUUUAAGUUAAAUAUGUUUCUUAUUGUUAACAUUCUCAAUGGGCCAGAACAAAAGUUCUGACUAGUCGCUGCAUGUGUUGACGAGCGUGAGACAUUUGUUUGCCCAGCACUAAAAUG